GCGGCUGCACCAUCACGGGGCCUUAAUUCAACAUCGAGGUCGUAAUCCUUCUUUUUAAUUUGGGCUUGAAAAAAGAUUACGCUGUUACCCCUAAAGUAAUUUGAUUUUUAGCUCUUUUUAGGGUCUAUCUGAUCAAAGAAUAAGUUAUAAUUUAUUUGGGUUUUAUAUAUAAACCGUCCCAGUCAAACUUCAAACAAUAGUGAUAAUCGCUGAUGAAGAAGUAAAAUUUUUAGGGUCUUAUCGUCUUUUCUUUAAUUUAAGCAUUUUAACUUAAAAGUAAUUUGGAGUUUAAAGUGCGAUAAUUAUUACUACGUCAGACCUUUCAUUCUGGUUCUUAAUUAGAGAACAAAAUAUUAUGCUACCUUAGUACAGUUUUAACACUGCAGCUCUUUAAUAAAUUCAGUGUGCAGGUAGGACCUCUUAUAGGGCUAGAGGCCAUGUUU
rnacentral:rRNA from 1 species